rnacentral:rRNA from 1 species
GUGGUCCUACGGGGCGCAGCAGUGAGGAAUAUUGGUCAAUGGGCUUACGCCUGAACCAGCCAAGUCGCGUGAGGGAAGACUGCCCUAUGGGUUGUAAACCUCUUUUGUCAGGGAGCAACGCCGGCUACGUGUAGCCGGACUGAGAGUACCUGAAGAAAAAGCAUCGGCUAACUCCGUGCCAGCAGCCGCGGUAAUACGUAUGGUGCAAGCGUUAUCCGGAUUUACUGGGUGUAAAGGGAGCGCAGGCGGCACGGCAAGCCUGAUGUGAAAGCCCGCGGCCCAACCGCGGGACUGCAUUGGGAACU